UACGUAGGGCGCAAGCGUUAUCCGGAAUUAUUGGGCGUAAAGAGCUCGUAGGCGGUGUGUCACGUCGGCCGUGAAAACCUGCAGCUUAACUGUGGGCGUGCGGUCGAUACGGGCAUCACUGGAGUUCGGCAGGGGAGACUGGAAUUCCUGGUGUAGCGGUGAAAUGCGCAGAUAUCAGGAGGAACACCGGUGGCGAAGGCGGGUCUCUGGGCCGAUACUGACGCUGAGGCGCGAAAGCCAGGGGAGCGAACGGG
rnacentral:rRNA from 1 species